UACGAGAGGCCCAAACGUUAUUCGGAAUUACUGGGCUUAAAGAGUUCGUAGGCGGCGCGGAAAGUGGGGUGUGAAAGCCCUCGGCUCAACCGAGGAAUUGCGCUCCAAACUACCGUGCUUGAGGAAGCUAGAGGUGAGCGGAACUGAUGGUGGAGCGGUGAAAUGCGUUGAUAUCAUCAGGAACACCGGAGGCGAAGGCGGCUCACUGGGGCUUUUCUGACGCUGAGUAACGAAAGCCAGUGUAGCGAACGGG
rnacentral:rRNA from 1 species